rnacentral:rRNA from 1 species
AAUCAACGCUGGCGGCGUGCCUCAGACAUGCAAGUCGAACGAUUAAAGCUCUCUUCGGAGAGUGUAUAGAGUGGCGCACGGGUGAGUAACACGUAAGUAAUCUACCUUCGAGUGGGGAAUAACAUCGGGAAACCGAUGCUAAUACCGCAUAAUGCAGCGGCAUCGCAAGAUGACAGUUGUUAAAGGAGCAAUUCGCUUGAAGAGGAGCUUGCGGCAGAUUAGCUAGUUGGUAAGGUAAUGGCUUACCAAGGCUACGAUCUGUAACCGGUCUAAGAGGACGGUCGGUCACACUGACACUGAAUAACGGGUCAGACUCCUACGGGAGGCAGCAGUCGGGAAUUUUGGGCAAUGGGCGAAAGCCUGACCCAGCAACGCCGCGUGAAGGAUGAAGUAUUUCGGUAUGUAAACUUCGAAAGAAUAGGAAGAAUAAAUGACGGUACUAUUUAUAGGUCCGGCUAACUACGUGCCAGCAGCCGCGGUAAG